GAUGAACGCUAGCUACAGGCUUAACACAUGCAAGUCGAGGGGAAACGACAUCGAAAGCUUGCUUUUGAUGGGCGUCGACCGGCGCACGGGUGAGUAACGCGUAUCCAACCUGCCCACCACUUGGGGAUAACCUUGCGAAAGUAAGACUAAUACCCGAUGAUAUCUCUAGACGACAUCUGAAAGGGAUUAAAGAUUUAUCGGUGAUGGAUGGGGAUGCGUCCCAUUAGUUAGUUGGCGGGGUAACGGCCCACCAAGACGACGAUGGGUAGGGGUUCUGAGAGGAAGGUCCCCCACAUUGGAACUGAGACACGGUCCAAACUCCUACGGGAGGCAGCAGUGAGGAAUAUUGGUCAAUGGGCGAGAGCCUGAACCAGCCAAGUAGCGUGCAGGAUGACGGCCCUAUGGGUUGUAAACUGCUUUUAUGCGGGGAUAAAGUGUACCAUGUAUGGUGUUUUGCAGGUACCGCAUGAAUAGGACCGGCUAAUUCCGUG
rnacentral:rRNA from 1 species